AACCCAUGAUAAGGGCACCGUUUGAGAAAAACCUUGAACCUCUCAUGUGCUUCGAACAAUGUUUCAAACUCUCCCUACUUGAAUGCUGGGAUCUCUUGUCUGAUCUU